rnacentral:rRNA from 1 species
UACGGAGGGUGCAAGCGUUAUCCGGAUUCACUGGGUUUAAAGGGUGCGUAGGUGGGUUGGUAAGUCAGUGGUGAAAUCUCCGGGCUUAACCUGGAAACUGCCAUUGAUACUAUCAAGCUUGAAUACCUUGGAGGUGAGCGGAAUAUGUCAUGUAGCGGUGAAAUGCUUAGAUAUGACAUAGAACACCAAUUGCGAAGGCAGCUCACUACACGGUCAUUGACACUGAGGCACGAAAGCGUGGGGAUCAAACAGG